UACGAGGGGGGCGAGCGUUGUUCGGAAUUAUUGGGCGUAAAGGGUGCGUAGGCGGUUUGGUAAGUCUUAUGUGAAAUCUAUGGGCUCAACUCAUAGUCUGCAUGAGAAACUGCCGGGCUUGAGUAUGGGAGAGGUGAGUGGAAUUCCUGGGUGUAGCGGUGAAAUGCGUAGAUAUCAGGAGGAACACCUGUGGCGAAAGCGGCUCACUGGACCAUAACUGACGCUGAUGCACGAAAGCUAGGGGAGCAAACAGG
rnacentral:rRNA from 1 species